UACGUAGGGCGCAAGCGUUGUCCGGAAUUAUUGGGCGUAAAGAGCUCGUAGGCGGUCUGUCGCGUCUGCUGUGAAAACCCGAGGCUCAACCUCGGGCCUGCAGUGGGUACGGGCAGACUAGAGUACUGCGAGGGGAGACUGGAAUUCCGUGGUGUAGCGGUGGAAUGCGCAGAUAGUCGAGGAGGGAACACCGGUGGCGAAGGCGGGUCUCUGGGCAGUAAACUGACGCUGGAG
rnacentral:rRNA from 1 species